AGAUAUCAGGGGAUGGCAUAGAGGAAAGUUUGGUUAUAGUUUUAUCUUUGUUACAUGUUAAUGUGACCUUGGACAAGUCCUUUAACUUUAGUGUCUUUUUUAAAUGGGGUAAAAAACAUCUACUUUAGGUGUUCAGCAUAAUUCUUAGCAUAGGUUCUUAACUAUGGUAUAUGGCACAAAACUGUUCAGAAAUAGAAAUUGUCAAUGUUCACAUUUCCAAACUUCUCUGAACCUCAGUUUCUUCAUUUGUCAAGUGGCAAUUACCAGUUGGAGGGUUAUGUAGUGUUUUAUUGAGAUGAUGUAUAUGAAAGUGCUUUGUAAAUUUUCAGUGCUAGCUAAAUGUUAAUUUUGGCUGCUGUUAUUUUGUAAAGUAUUUUUUUCCAAAGACAAAACUUCUGGAGUUACUACUUACAGAGUCAAGACCUGAAGCUGGACCCAGC
rnacentral:lncRNA from 10 species